rnacentral:rRNA from 1 species
GACGAACGCUGGCGGCGGGCUUAACACAUGCAAGUCGAACGGAAAGGCCCUGCUUUUGUGGGGUGCUCGAGUGGCGAACGGGUGAGUAACACGUGAGUAACCUGCCCUUGACUUUGGGAUAACUUCAGGGAACUGGGGCUAAUACCGGAUAGGAGCUCCUGCUGCAUGGUGGGGGUGGGAAAGUUUCGGCGGUUGGGGAUGGACUCGCGGCUGAUCAGCUUGUUGGUGGGGUAGUGGCUUACCAAGGCUUUGACGGGUAGCCGGCCUGAGAAGGUGACCGGCCACAUUGGGACUGAGAUACGGCCCAGACUCCUACGGGAGGCAGCAGUGGGGAAUAUUGCACAAUGGGCGGAAGCCUGAUGCAGCAACGCCGCGUGCGGGAUGACGGCCUUCGGGUUGUAAACCGCUUUCGCCUGUGACGAAGCGUGAGUGACGGUAAUGGGUAAAGAAGCACCGGCUAACUACGUG